CCUACGGGUGGCAGCAGUGAGGAAUAUUGGUCAAUGGACGAGAGUCUGAACCAGCCAAGUAGCGUGAAGGAUGACUGCCCUAUGGGUUGUAAACUUCUUUUAUAUGGGAAUAACAUGUUCCACGUGUGGGAUUUUGUAUGUACCAUAUGAAUAAUGAUCGGCUAACUCCGUGCCAGCAGCCGCGGUAAUACGGAGGAUCCGAGCGUUAUCCGGAUUUAUUGGGUUUAAAGGGAGCGUAGGUGGAUUGUUAAGUCAGUUGUGAAAGUUUGCGGCUCAACCGUAAAAUUGCAGUUGAAACUGGCAGUCUUGAGUACAGUAGAGGUGGGCGGAAUUCGUGGUGUAGCGGUGAAAUGCUUAGAUAUCACGAAGAACUCCGAUUGCGAAGGCAGUUCACUGGACUGCAACUGACACUGAGGCUCGAAAGUGUGGGUAUCAAACAGGAUUAGAUACCCCAGUAGUC
rnacentral:rRNA from 1 species